CGGGGAUCGAACGCGCGUGGCCGGAUUCAGAGCGCAGCGUUCAGUCACUGCUCCCCACCACGCACACAACACGCAGUCACAUGCAAAGAUCACCCGUGUAGCCUUGAGAGACUGUAGGGGCAAGUGCCGUCAGCGAGCGACUUUGAGGGGCUUCACGGCACGCGAGAGGGCGAGUGGCCAACACCACACCCGGCCGCCUUUGUCUCCCCAGUGGCGAUGUUUCCACCUCCGCAACAGAACAAUCUUCAGGAUCGCAUCAUCGUCAAGAUCGCAUCACCACCAAGAUCGCAUCACCACCAAGAUGGCAUCACCAUCACCAAGAUCCCAUCACCACCAAGAUGGAGUCACCACCAAGAUCUUAUCACCAUCAAGAUGGCAUCACCACCAAGAUCCCAUCACCACCAAGAUGGCGUCAUCACCAUCACCAAGAUUGCGUCAUCAUCACAAAGAAUGGUGUUCGCGUUGAAGACCUCGCAGAGAAUGGCUUUGACGGCGACCUUGCGGGAUUGGUGCCAGAGAGUUGCGGCCAUGAGAUUGAGCAUAUUGGCAAAUAUCGGAGG